AACGAACGCUGGCGGCAUGCCUAACACAUGCAAGUCGAACGAGCCCUUCGGGUCUAGUGGCGCACGGGUUCGUAACGCGUGGGAACCUGCCCUUAGGUUCGGACUAACUCCCCGAAAGGGGUGCUAAUACCGGAUAAUGUCUUCGGACCAAAGAUUUAUCGCAUUUGGAUGGGCCCGCGUUGGAUUAGCUAGUUGGUAGGGUAAAAGCCUACCAAGGCGACGAUCCAUAGCUGGUCUGAGAGGAUGAUCAGCCACUCUGAGACUGAGACACGGCCCAGACUCCUACGGGAGGGAGCAGUGGGGAAUAUUGGACAAUGGGCGAAAGCCUGAUCCAGCAAUGCCGCUUGAGUGAUGAAGGCCUUAGGGUUGUAAAGCUCUUUUACCCGGGAUGAUAAUGACAGUACCGGGAGAAUAAGCUCCGGCUAACUCCGUG
rnacentral:rRNA from 1 species